GUCGUACGCUUCUUUUUCCCCGGAGCUUGCUCCACCGGAAAAAGAAGAGUGGCGAACGGGUGAGUAACACGUGGGUAACCUGCCCAUCAGAAGGGGAUAACACUUGGAAACAGGUGCUAAUACCGUAUAACAAUCGAAACCGCAUGGUUUUGAUUUGAAAGGCGCUUUCGGGUGUCGCUGAUGGAUGGACCCGCGGUGCAUUAGCUAGUUGGUGAGGUAACGGCUCACCAAGGCCACGAUGCAUAGCCGACCUGAGAGGGUGAUCGGCCACAUUGGGACUGAGACACGGCCCAAACUCCUACGGGAGGCAGCAGUAGGGAAUCUUCGGCAAUGGACGAAAGUCUGACCGAGCAACGCCGCGUGAGUGAAGAAGGUUUUCGGAUCGUAAAACUCUGUUGUUAGAGAAGAACAAGGAUGAGAGUAACUGUUCAUCCCUUGACGGUAUCUAACCAGAAAGCCACGGCUAACUACGUGCCAGCAGCCGCGGUAAUACGUAGGUGGCAAGCGUUGUCCGGAUUUAUUGGGCGUAAAGCGAGCGCAGGCGGUUUCUUAAGUCUGAUGUGAAAGCCCCCGGCUCAACCGGGGAGGGUCAUUGGAAACUGGGAGACUUGAGUGCAGAAGAGGAGAGUGGAAUUCCAUGUGUAGCGGUGAAAUGCGUAGAUAUAUGGAGGAACACCAGUGGCGAAGGCGGCUCUCUGGUCUGUAACUGACGCUGAGGCUCGAAAGCGUGGGGAGCAAACAGGAUUAGAUACCCUGGUAGUCCACGCCGUAAACGAUGAGUGCUAAGUGUUGGAGGGUUUCCGCCCUUCAGUGCUGCAGCUAACGCAUUAAGCACUCCGCCUGGGGAGUACGACCGCAAGGUUGAAACUCAAAGGAAUUGACGGGGGCCCGCACAAGCGGUGGAGCAUGUGGUUUAAUUCGAAGCAACGCGAAGAACCUUACCAGGUCUUGACAUCCUUUGACCACUCUAGAGAUAGAGCUUCCCCUUCGGGGGCAAAGUGACAGGUGGUGCAUGGUUGUCGUCAGCUCGUGUCGUGAGAUGUUGGGUUAAGUCCCGCAACGAGCGCAACCCUUAUUGUUAGUUGCCAUCAUUCAGUUGGGCACUCUAGCAAGACUGCCGGUGACAAACCGGAGGAAGGUGGGGAUGACGUCAAAUCAUCAUGCCCCUUAUGACCUGGGCUACACACGUGCUACAAUGGGAAGUACAACGAGUCGCGAAGUCGCGAGGCUAAGCUAAUCUCUUAAAGCUUCUCUCAGUUCGGAUUGUAGGCUGCAACUCGCCUACAUGAAGCCGGAAUCGCUAGUAAUCGCGGAUCAGCACGCCGCGGUGAAUACGUUCCCGGGCCUUGUACACACCGCCCGUCACACCACGAGAGUUUGUAACACCCGAAGUCGGUGAGGUAACCUUUGGAGCCA
rnacentral:rRNA from 1 species